AACGCACCUUGCGCUCGCUGGUAUUCCGGCGAGCAUGCCUGUUUGAGUGUCAUGAACACUUCAACCCUCCUAUUCCUUAUUGAAUGGUGAGGUGCUUGGAUUUUGAACGUCUGCUGGCUUUCUUUACUGAAAGCGAAGCUCGUUCGUAAUACAUUAGCAACUCAAUUUCGAGUAUUCGGAUUGACUCGGCGUGAUAGACUUUUAUAAUCGCUGAGGACACUUUUACUAGUGGCCGAAUCUCGAAGUAGGAGCUUCAAACUCUGAAAAGUCAAAUCUUAGAUUAGACCUCAGAUCAGGCAGGACUACCCGCUGAACUUAA
rnacentral:misc_RNA from 1 species